UUGUGUGUUCAGUUUUGUGGUUAUUUGUGUGUUUUUUAGUCAUGUUUUAACUGCCAGUCCUUGACUGGACCACAAAAGUGCAGUGGGUGAAGUGAUGUCAUUGGACACUACUACGGUAGUGAUGGGGAGAUUUGCUUUAGUCUUCAAAAGAAAACCAACCAAUUUGCAAUGCAACAUUCCUUUAAAUAAACAUGCAUUCAUGUACACUGAAAAGCAAACUGUUAUAUAUACACUACCGGUCAAAAGUUUGGGGUCACUUAGACAUUUCCAUUCCGCUCCAUUAUAGACAGAAUACCAGAUGAGAUCAGUUGCAUUGUUU